rnacentral:rRNA from 1 species
CCUACGGGAGGCAGCAGUGAGGAAUAUUGGUCAAUGGCCGGAAGGCUGAACCAGCCAUGCCGCGUGAAGGUCAGUGCCCUAUGGGCGUUAAACUUCUUUUGUGCGGGAGCAAUAAUGGUCACGUGUGGCCAGACGAGAGUACCGUACGAAUAAGCAUCGGCUAACUCCGUGCCAGCAGCCGCGGUAAUACGGGGGAUGCAAGCGUUAUCCGGAUUUAUUGGGUUUAAAGGGUGCGUAGGCUGUGAGGUAAGUCAGCGGUGAAAUGCCCCCGCUCAACGGGGUGAAGUGCCAUUGAUACUGGCUGGCUGGAAUGCGGAUGCGGUGGGAGGAAUGUGUGGUGUAGCGGUGAAAUGCAUAGAUAUCACACAGAACACCGAUUGCGAAGGCAUCUCACGAAUCCGCGAUUGACGCUGAUGCACGAAAGCGUGGGUAUCAAACAGGAUUAGAUACCCGGGUAGUC